ACCUCUCUCAGGGUUUAUAGAAUUGCUGAGAACUAGGGACUUCCGCUGGAUUAGGCUUUGCCUUAAAGGAAUGUCAUGCCUGUUUUAAUUAAAAUGAUAAAGAACCAAAUAUUUCAGAAACUACAAAAAUGUGACACAGAGAUAAGAAAUGAGCAAAUGCUGCCAGAAAAAAAUGUCACCAAUGGAAUUGCUGUACUCAGGGUUGUUACAAAUCUUCAAUUGUUUAAAAAUAUGCAUUACCAGGGAGGGCAAUAAAAUGAAACAUGCCUGUAAUAGCAAUGAAUUUGCACUGGGAAGGUAAAAAGGGGAUUCCUGCCUUCAGAAUUCUCUCCUUUCUCCACUCCCCAGCACAGCCAAGCUCUUGAGUGCACAUGUGCACACACAAAGCCAGUUGUUUUAUGUUUAUAGAGGGUAAAAAGAAAAUGCAAGACCACCAUGCUGCAUCAGGAUCUCUGAAAGAACGUGAGGAAGACGGUUUCCAAAGGCAGGUGAAGAAAGUACGCGUCCUUGAUGAAAUCAGUGGACAGAGAUCUAUGGACACUGAAGGGAAGGUGGACAUGAACGGAUGUGAGCUGGUGGGAAAGCAGCAGCUGUUGGCAGCAAAGGAGGAGGCAAAAUUGGCUGAAGAGGAGACAAGAUGGUACAAGAUAAGACUUGAAGAAUGUCACGGGCAAAUGUGGGAAGCAGAGAUCAUUUGGAGACACCAGGUAACCUGCCUUCCUCCUGACACACCGAGUCCUCAGCACCUGAUGCAGACAGUUAUUGUGGCCCUGAGAACCCCUAGCCAUGGGGUGUUUCUUGAUGUGUUGACUUUUUCAGGUCACUCUUGCCGAGAAGAAGGCCCAAGACAGCUCGCUCAGGGCUCAGGAGCUGGAGAGGGAAAUCUCUGAAUUGAGAAGGGAAAACUCUGACGUGACAAGGGAAAACUCUGACCUGAGAAGGGAAAAUUCCUCUGAGCUGAGAAGUGAAGUUGCCCACCUGAAACAGAGAUUGGAUGCAAUCUGCAGAUGGAGGCAGGCAGAGGAAUACAUGAGGCAGGAGCCCACCCCAGGAGGACCGUACAGGCUGCAACCUCCCCUGAGAGCUUCACAGAGGGAUGGCAACCCUGUUAGGAAUGGAACCGCCUUUCCGGCUCAGGAGGCAGAGGAAACCAAAGUAAGUAAUUUUACUCAGUUGUGUUGUGGUGGUCAUUUUGUAUUGAAUAAUCUCUGGAACUAGCAUUUUCUUUUUGAACAAACAAUUCCUGGCUUUGCCUGUGGAUUGGGAAUUAGGGGAAAAGUAUGCCCAGUCAUCACAGUGAAGUUUGGUAAAAGUAUUUUAUCGCCAAACUUUACUGAGCA